rnacentral:rRNA from 1 species
GACGAACGCUGGCGGCGUGCUUAACACAUGCAAGUCGAGCGGAAAGGCCCUUCGGGGUACUCGAGCGGCGAACGGGUGAGUAACACGUGAGUAACCUGCCCCAGACUUUGGGAUAACCCUCGGAAACGGGGGCUAAUACCGGAUACGACACAGCUUCGCAUGGGGUCUGUGUGGAAAGUUUUUCGGUUUGGGAUGGGCUCGCGGCCUAUCAGCUUGUUGGUGGGGUGAUGGCCUACCAAGGCGACGACGGGUAGCCGGCCUGAGAGGGCGACCGGCCAAACGGGGACUGGGACACGGCCCAGACCCCUACGGGGGGCAGGGGGGGGGAAUAUUGCACAAGGGGGGGAAGCCUGAUGCGGGGACCCCGGGUGGGGGAUGACGGCCUUCGGGUUGAAAACCUCUUUCAGCAGGGACGAAGCGUAAGUGACGGUACCUGCAGAAGAAGCCCCGGCCAACUACGU